rnacentral:lncRNA from 1 species
AUAUAGCAGAAUGUUGUCCUUAAUAAUUGUUUCUAUUUUAGAACAAGGCACAGAAGAAGUUAAAAAACUGCUUUUACUUUUAUUGGGUUGUGCAGUUCAGGUAAGUUAAAAUAUUUUUUCAUAUUUUCAUUUUAACAACCUCUUUAUAUAUUUUUAUCAGGCUGUAGUUUCUGAAAGACUUAAGGAUAUUACUCUUUUCCUUAUUCUGAGGCUUAUAAUGACCCUAAAUUUUUGAGGUUUUUUCAGG